rnacentral:rRNA from 1 species
UGGAGCAUGUGGUUUAAUUCGAAGCAACGCGAAGAACCUUACCAGGCCUUGACAUGCAGAGAACUUUCCAGAGAUGGAUUGGUGCCUUCGGGAACUCUGACACAGGUGCUGCAUGGCUGUCGUCAGCUCGUGUCGUGAGAUGGUUGGGUUAAGUCCCGUAACGAGCGCAACCCUUGUCCUUAGUUACCAGCACGUUAUGGUGGGCACUCUAAGGAGACUGCCGGUGACAAACCGGAGGAAGGUGGGGAUGACGUCAAGUCAUCAUGGCCCUUACGGCCUGGGCUACACACGUGCUACAAUGGUCGGUACAAAGGGUUGCCAAGCCGCGAGGUGGAGCUAAUCCCAUAAAACCGAUCGUAGUCCGGAUCGCAGUCUGCAACUCGACUGCGUGAAGUCGGAAUCGCUAGUAAUCGUGAAUCAGAAUGUCACGGUGAAUACGUUCCCGGGCCUU